rnacentral:rRNA from 1 species
GACGAACGCUGGCGGCGGGCUUAACACAUGCAAGUCGAACGGAAAGGCCCUGCUUUUGUGGGGUGCUCGAGUGGCGAACGGGUGAGUAACACGUGAGUAACCUGCUCUUGACUUUGGGAUAACUUCAGGAAACUGGGGCUAAUACCGGAUAGCAGCUCCUGCUGCAUGGUGGGGGUUGGAAAGUCUCGGCGUUCGGGGAUGGACUCGCGGCUUAUCAGCUUGUUGGUGGGGUAGUGGCUUACCAAGGCUUUGACGGGUAGCCGGCAUGAGAGGGUGACCGGCCACAUUGGGACUGAGAGACGGAGCAGACGCGUAUGGGGGGCAACAGUGGGGAGUAUUGCACAAUGGGAGGAAGUCUGAUGCAGAAGCGCCGCGUGCGGGAUGACGGCCUUCGGGUUGUAAAACGCUUCCGCCUGUGACGAAGCGGGAGUGACGGUAAUGGGUAAAGAAGCACCGGCUAACUACGUG